GGUUCUUACUGCACUUGGGAGUUCGGGGUACCUUGUCUCUUCCGAUCGUCUUGUCGGCUGCUUUCCCUACUGAGGUUUGUGCUUCCUGUUUGUAACUGUCUCUUCAACACUGCCUCUUGAACACUGUCCCUCAUGUAAGUCCCUGGUUCCUUUAUUUUGCAGGCCCUCUUGUUGCUGCCUUCACUUGCUUUGUCGUCUACUGCUCUGUUAGCUCGCCGGUUCCCUAUCUUGCUGUGAAGGUACUGCUGCAUUGGUAAAUUCCUAUAGUUGAAAAGAAAUGAUGUUUUGUUUUAUAUGUGGUUGCCACAAUGGGCUGUGAAUAGUGACUCUAUCCAUAGGUGUUCUGAGACCUUUUUGUACCUUGUUAUUUCUUACCUUUGAUUUCCCCUCCAGUCUGACAAAUAUAUUCCAUUCUAGGGAGGGGGAAUACUACGAUUCCACACUGUUUCCGAGGCAAAAUCCAGAGCAAUUUUGUGUCGAGGUUCACACCUUUCUCUUUGUGAUUAUCUAUAUGGGAUUCCAUAUAUAAUAAGAUUUCCCCUUGAUACGAAGUAACUCUUCAGGAAGUUUCAGAUUUAUACGACGAAUUAUGUGCUCUUUAGUAGGGUUAAAGUUUCCACAAGGCUUACCUACCAAAG
rnacentral:lncRNA from 1 species